rnacentral:rRNA from 1 species
AGUCUGAUGGAGCACGCCGCGUGAGACGAUGAAGGCCUUCGGGUCGUAAAGCUCUGUUGUUAGGGAAGAACAAGUACCGGAGUAACUGCCGGUACCUUGACGGUACCUAACCAGAAAGCCACGGCUAACUACGUG